GAUGAACGCUGGCGGCGUGCCUAAUACAUGCAAGUCGAGCGAACAGACGAGGAGCUUGCUCCUCUGACGUUAGCGGCGGACGGGUGAGUAACACGUGGAUAACCUACCUAUAAGACUGGGAUAACUUCGGGAAACCGGAGCUAAUACCGGAUAAUAUAUUGAACCGCAUGGUUCAAUAGUGAAAGACGGUUUUGCUGUCACUUAUAGAUGUAUCCGCGCCGCGUUAGCUAGUUGUUAAGGUAACGCCUUACCAAGGCAACGAUUCGUAGCCGACCUGAGAGGGUGAUCGGCCACACUGGAACUGAGACUCGGUCCAGACUCCUACGGGAGGCAGCAGUAGGGAAUCUUCCGCAAAGGGCGAAAGCCUGACGGAGCAACGCCGCGUGAGUGAUGAAGAUUUUCGGAUCGUAAAACUCUGUUAGUAGGGAAGAACAAAUGUGUAAGUAACUAUGCACGUCUUGACGGUACCUAAUCAGAAAGCCACGGCUAACUACGUG
rnacentral:rRNA from 1 species